CAGGAUGGAAUAAGAUGCCAAAGAUAGGAGGAGAGUGGAAACAAGGGAGAGCCCAGCGAGACACUGUUUAAUGUUUGAAAUCAGUGCCAAGCUAAAUUAGAAACAUGAGUCUGUGUACCUGUAACUUACCUCAUCGGUAUAUCAUCUGUAACCUGAGAUCCCCUCACAGAGAAGUAAAAAUAGCAAGGCUCUUGGGCUGAGUGCAGGAGGGCCAGCGUGGGGAAGGAUAAAGGGACUAGGCAGAGAACGCCAAUCACGUGGUCUGAGCGAGAACUCCUCCUCACCCCUUGGGUGGUGGCAGGGGGAAUACAGCCAAGAGAGGUGACAUCAAGGGCGUUAUGACAUUUCCUCAAAACGAAGCAUCAUUGACGUCCUGCGCCUGCCUGCUCCUGCCCUGAUCAAGGGUUAUGGAAGCUUUAUGCACUAUAAAGAAUCAAGAGAGAAGCCCUGUGAGCUCUCCGUGGCUUCCCUAAGAGAACAGGGAAGAGCUCGACAGAGUGAAAACAGGAAGAGAUGGAGCCUUACAGACCUGGACUGGAAUGCUGGCUCUGCAUCACAAGCUCUCUAACACUCUGAGAGAUGAUUUAAAUAAAGUUCUGAGCUUCA
rnacentral:lncRNA from 1 species